rnacentral:misc_RNA from 1 species
GCAACAAACAUCAAAUUUUACCAACAUAUUGUGCCCUUUACAAUUUCCCCUCAAUCUUCGCAGCAACCAAACAGAGUGGAUGUGAUUGAGACAAGCAAAAGAGGGAACAAACCUGGAUCUGAUCUGGAUCUGAACAGAAACUUCGAAAGAAGUGCGAAAAAAGCUCUGAUAAUGGGGAAGAGGAACCGAGGUAGAAGGGAUGGGUUUAUACGCUCGUAGUCGUUGAUGGGCGGAGAACC